rfam:Tetranychus urticae London genomic scaffold, scaffold_9
UGGAUACUCUCCGUGUUCACUGUUUGCCUUCAUGUAGAGCUUUGAUUUAUCAUAAGGCACGCGGUGAAUGCCAAGAGUUUGUGG